rnacentral:rRNA from 1 species
UAGCUUGCUAUGAGCUGUUUUAGCGGCGGACGGGUGAGUAACGCGUGGGUAACCUGCCUCAUACAGGGGGAUAACAGUUAGAAAUGACUGCUAAUACCGCAUAUGCCUUAGAAUCACAUGGUUCAAAAGGGAAAGGAGCAAUCCGCUGAUAGAUGGGCUUGCGUCUGAUUAGCUAGUUGGUGAGGUAACGGCCCACCAAGCCGACGAUCGGUAGCCGACCUGAGAGGGUGAUCGGCCACAUUGGGACUGAGACACGGCCCAAACUCC